rnacentral:rRNA from 1 species
CACGUAGGGCGCAAGCGUUGUCCGGAAUUAUUGGGCGUAAAGAGCUCGUAGGCGGUCUGUUGCGUCUGCUGUGAAAACCCGGGGCUUAACCCCUGGCUUGCAGUGGAUACGGACAGACUAGAGGUAGGUAGGGGAGAAUGGAAUUCCCGGUGUAGCGGUGAAAUGCGCAGAUAUCGGGAGGAACACCGGUGGCGAAGGCGGUUCUCUAGUACGGUACUGACGCUGAGACGCGAAAGCGUGGGGAGCGAACAGG